AUUGGCUACGGUGAUAUCACACCUCACACAUAUCUGGGAAGGUUAAUCGGUUCGAUUUGUGCGUUGGCUGGUGUACUGACCAUUGCAUUGCCUGUUCCUGUGAGUUUUCGCUAAU
rfam:Ancylostoma ceylanicum strain HY135 Acey_s0393_scaf, whole genome shotgun sequence.